rnacentral:rRNA from 1 species
GACGAACGCUGGCGGCGUGCUUAAUACAUGCAAGUCGAACGGAAAGGCCCUGCUUUUGCGGGGUGCUCGAGUGGCGAACGGGUGAGUAACACGUGAGUAACCUGCCCUUGACUUUGGGAUAACUUCAGGAAACUGGGGCUAAUAUCGGAUAGGAGCUCCUGCUGCACGGUGGGGGUUGGAAAGUUUCGGCGGUUGGGGAUGGACUCGCGGCUUAUCAGCUUGUUGGUGGGGUAGUGGCUUACCAAGGGUUUGACGGGUAGCCGGCCUGAGAGGGUGACCGGCCACAUUGGGACUGAGGUACGGCCCAGACUCCUACGGGAGGCAGCAGUGGGGAGUAUUGCACAAUGGGCGGAAGCCUGAUGCAGCAGCGCCGCGUGCGGGAUGACGGCCUUCGGGUUGUAAACCGCUUUCGACUGUGACGAGGCGUGAGUGACGGUAAUGGGUAAAGAAGCACCGGCUAACUACGUG